CCCCAGAGGACAAAAUGAGAAGGCUGGAUGGGGGCUGAAAAGGUUCUUUUGGCUGCCACAGUGACGGGGAGGUUGGACUUGACUCUGUAGGAGCCAGUGAAAUGGAGACCCAGGGCUGCAGAAUGAAGUGCGAGAUGCCAGUCUCUUCACACUGACCCCACCUCUGGACCUCUGCAUUUUCCUGUUGGAGACCCCAAAGGCAUGAAGUGUGAGAAAGAAAACAGAAACUCAGAGAAAGCUGAAAUAACGGCUCGUGAUCACACAUCUCGGUGGCAGGCUGGACUUCAAC